CUUCCCUGGUCAGAAGCUCCAGUGUAUUUUCCAUCCAGCAACUCUUAGGGAAAUUUCCCUUGCCUGACAGUGGAGUUUUUGUUUGGUAGUCUGUGGCUUUUGAAUAAGCAUUAGCACCAAGUGGUAUAACUUUAUAUACAAAAAAUGUAUAUAUACAUGUGUGUUUACAUGUGUAUAUUUACAUAUAUAUUAUGUAUUUUAAGUAAAAAAAAAAUAUUUCCCUAUGGAUUUUCAAACAUCCUCAAUGUAACAUCAUUUCAAGUUCUACUUUAGGAACUUUUCUCUUUUUUAGAUUGAAAAUAGAUUCUUUUCUCAUAAAAUGUGACCUGGUUAUAAUUUCUACUCUCAUUAGAAAAUAUCAGGCUUCCAAGAGAUAACAACAAAACACGGCAAAAUAAAAUGUAAUAAAAUGAAGAAAAAAAAAACUGUCUUAUCAAAAUUGGACACAGCAACCCAACAGAAGGAAAUCUACCCAAGAACAGGCACAAGAGCUGGAAAUCCACUCAUACCGUCAGAACUCUCAUAAAAAUACUAAGUAAUAGCUAUAACAUAGUCAAAACACCUGGUGAGGAUCCAUGUAGGCCCUGUGAUUGCUGCUUCAGUCUCUGUGAGCUCAUAUGUGCCUUGCUUAGUUGAUUCAGAGGGCCUUGUUCUCCUGGUGUCCUCCAUCCCCUUUGGUCCUUCCAUUCUUUCUGCCCUCUCUUCCCUUGGAUUCCAUGAGCUCUGAGGGCAAGGACUAAAUAAAGACCUCCAAUUUAGAUUCUCUCUCUCUCUCUCUCUCUCUCUCUCUCUCUGAAUAAUGUCUGACUGUGGAUCUCUGUAUUUGUUUCCAUCUUCUACUGGAAGAAGCCUCUCUGAUGGAUGCCUGGAGAAGGCUCCAAUCUAUGAGUAUAGCAGAAUACCAUUAGGAAUAAUUUUAUUGAUUUUUUUUUAGACUACUAGUGUUUGGUUUUACCCUAGAUAUCUAGGUUAUCUAGUCUCUAGUUCUUGGUCACCCACACAGUUUCAGCUGUGAGUUCCUUCUCAUGGAAUGGGCCUUAGGUCAAGGCAUAUAUUGGUUGGUUUUCCCACAAAUUCUUUGCCACCAUUGUGCAAGCAUAUUAUGCAGGCAGGACAGAUUUUAGGUCAAAGGUUUUGAGUCUGGCUUGGUGUCCAUGUUUCUGUUUAGGUAGCCUGCAGAGUACCUUCCAAAAAGAAUUUUCCUGACUGCUUCCAUUCAGGCCCAGUGGAGAACUAAAUGUGCCAUCAGUGUCAGGUAGGGCCUCAUUAAGAGAGGAGGGUGCUUCUGUUCUGUGAGUUCAGGGCUGACACCCAGAAGGCUUCUGAUGUGUGGCUCAAAGAGCAAUCACAAAAAUCUCAGGGGGCUCAAAUUCUGGGGGUGGGGGUUUCGAGACAAGGUCUCUCCUGGAACUUGCUCUGUAGACCAGGCUGGCGUGGAACUCACAGAGAUCUGCCUGCCUCUGCCUCCCGAGUUCUGGGAUUAAAGGCGUGCGCCACCACCGCCUGGCCACAACCAUAACUUAGUACCUGCUGUGGAUCUAGCACAGAUCCACACAGGCUCUGUGAUUUCUGCUUCAGUCUCUGUGAGCUCCCUUGAGCUCUGUUUAAUUGAUUCUGUCCCCUUUUAGUUGAUUGUGUCCCCUCUGACUCCUACAAUCACCCCCCUCUUCAGUGGGGUUUCCUUCCUAGGGGAGGGACCCAGUGGAGAUCUCCAAUUUGAGCUCUGUCUCUGUACAAAUGUUUGGCUUUGAGUCUCUGCAUCUGCUCCCAUCAGUGGCCUGUGGAAACCUUUCUGAUCAUAAUUGGUUAAGCCAUUCUUUUAAGAGUUCAUCAUAUAUUCUUUUCUUCCCCACCCGUGACUUACAUCUCCAUUGUGAAUCCUCAUUAAUAAACUCAGAGGAAAUCUGUACAACUCUAAUGCAUGCUCUUCAAAAAUUACCUUAUUUUUAUAUUUUUAAAAAGAUAGUUUAUUAGUAAACAAGGAGGACUCUAAAAGAGACAAACAUUGUCCCCUGGAGAAGGUGAAAGGGUCACAAUCCCCUGAGCAAAUUGAGAGCAUGGGAAGAGGGGGAGGGAGCUACCAGAAUGAGAAGGGAAGAACAGGAAGGAUGCAGAGGUCAUGAGGGAGCAGAAAGUUUGAGUCAGGUGAAGAAUAGAAGAAAGUAUAUAUGAUAGGUAGGGUUUUAAUUGGGGGAGUGGUAGGGGAGGAAGGGAGGGAGAAGGAAACUGGGAUUGUCAUGUAAUUCAAUCUUGUUUCUAAUUCUAAUAAAAAAUGAUAAAAAAGAAAAAAAAGAUAGUUUAUUAUGUAUCCUAUCUAGACUUAAAUUUGCUAUGUGGCAGAAGAUGACUUUGAACUUUGAUCUUCAUGGCUCUAACUACCAAGAACUCAGAGGACAGCUCUGUGCCACGUGCCACCAUGCCUAUUUUAUUUUGUGAUGCUGGGAAUUGAACCCUGGGCCUCACACCUGCUAGUCAAGCACUCUUCCAACUGAGCUUCAUCCCUAAUCUUCAUGAUUUACCUUUUAUGCAAAAUAUAUGUAUUAUGUUUCUGUAUUUAUAAUAAGCAUGUAUUUAAGUGUUUUUAAUUAUUUCAAAAUAUUGAUAUUAGAGUGUAUUGUACCAUUGUUGAUAUUUAAGCAGAUAUGGUGUAGUUUCUGUGAUGUUUGAGUAUAGAACUUUACACACAUACACACUCACACACACACACACACACUCACAUUUUCUGUAAUUUACAAGGGAUUGCCAAAGCCCAAUAGUAAAUGCUAAGAUUUACUAAACCAAGAUUUGGAAAGCAUAGGCAAUGCUUUUACACUGGAAAGUAACUCUAGUGCAUCAAUACCUUGGAAUCUGAAUGCAAGGACAUUUUAGAGUUAUUCAAAACUUUAUUUUGUUCAUAGUAUACAUUUAUAUAACAGUAGUUACUAAAGGGAAUUUUUGCAUCAGUUCUUUAAUAAUAUAAAUAAAAAUGCAAAUGAUGAAAAGAAACAAAACCUGUUUCUCUUAACAUCUUUGAAACUUAUAGAUAUAUAAAAUAAGUGUGGCUUCUUCCUUCAGUUGAUGACAGCUUAUGCUUGACAAGAAUAAUUCUAUUAAGCUUGGUACUAAAUGGAUUUGAGGAUUAAAAUAAAUCCUAAAUAUUUUAAAAGUUAGGCAAACUGAAAAAAAUCAACCUUUAUAUGUGUGUCAAUCAGAGAUGAAUGAGCCAAGAUUAUCAGAGUAAUAUAAUAUAGCUUGUCUUUCCAUCAAGACUCCUAGCAUAUAGAAUUAUGCCUGACAAUUAGCUGGUGGUCCUUUAUUUUUGCUGGUUAUAAAUAUUGUGCAUACAUUUAACUCAAAGCAUCCUUAGGCAAAAUGCAUAGGAGAAUCUGGGGCUAUAAGCCCUUUAUGUUUACGUGAAGAAGUAGACCUUGUCAGAAGUUAAGUAGUCCUCUGUCUCUUGAGGGGUGAGAGUUUUUUGACCAAUGUAAUGUUUUUAUUGAUUAUUUGGGAAUUUCAUAUAAUGUACUCUGAUCAUACUCACUUUCCAGUUCUUCCAAGCCUGCCCCAACCCUUGUGAUUCCAUCCAAAGAAAAGAAGAAAGAAAAAAGGAAGAAGGGAGGGAAGGAAGAGAGAAAAGAAGGGAGGGAAGGAGGGAAGGGAGGGAAACAACCCAAGAACAAUCUGUGUUAUCCAUAUAUUUCUGGUCAAACUCAUAGUGGCCAGCAUCCUAAAGGACACUUCUACCUUCUCCCCCACCAAAAGCUGUCAAUUGUGGAGAGCUACAUUUCCACAUCCUUAUCACAACUUUUAGGAGUUCCCUUUGAUGGUGUCCUUUUAAGGCUGUUACUUUUGGGAGGGGGUUGGGGUGGUGGUAGGGGUUGUCACAGAAGCCUCCUAUGAUCCUCCUUCUCAACUGUGUGUCUACAGUCAUCAAAAGCACUUAAAAAGUAGCUUCCUUAUACUUCAUAGUCAGUGGGAGCAUGGAUCCUGGGCCUCUGCAGAGUUGCUGACAAUAGUAUAGACCACAAACAUCCACAUGAUCUCUAGCAUCAGCAGAGUUCAAGACCUCUGCCUGGCCUCUGGUGGCAGGAAGGAUCAGGGUCAUUAACAUGAACUUCCACUAAAGCAUCAGCCAUGGAUACCAUCAUAGCCCACAGCAGCAGCACAGGCCAAGGACAUCAACAUGACCUCUGGAGCAAGAUGGGCCACAGACACCAACAUGUACUAUGCUAGUUGCAGAGGCCACUUACAUCAACAUGGCCCUUGGAAGCAGCACAGCCCACAGACAUCAUCACAGCCUCAGGCAGUGGCACAAACCAUGGACAACAGCAUGGCUCCCAGUGGCAGCACCAGCCUCAGAUGUCAACAGAACACCAGGGUGAAGCAGGACCAUGAACCCAAACAUGGCUCUGAGCAGCAGGUCAGUCCACUGGACAACCACAUGGCCCCUGGGCUUCAUCAUAACCUAGGGCAACAAUAAGGACCACAAUAGCAACAUUGCCUCUGGGGGAAGUGUGGACCAUGGGGAAAUUUUGAGGAGGCCCAAUCUAAUUCUUCAUCUUGGACAUCCUAUCACUGGUCAGACCCAGGGUGAUUGUGUGCCAAGGCAGCUUGUUCAAAGACCCAGGCUGCAGCACACCACCCUGUGGGCCCCACUCAGCAAGGACAUGUUUCAGACCCCUCCACAGCCUUCUCUCUCACCAGUCACAGCUUUUAUGUCUCUAGUUCCACCUCUCUUCACCACCCAUGCACCAAUUGGUUCCGCCAUCUUGUCUUUCCCAUCUCUCCAUCACAUAUUCAUUUAGUAGUAGUGGCAUUGGAAGCUGCAGUUUGUCAAACAGUAUGAUCCCCCCCAAACAACUUGCCAUGCAAAUGUUCAUUCCAACACAUCAUUGGUCUGGUUCAAGGUUAGGGGUUUCUGAUAGAACUAUCAAUACUGGACCCUCACUGAGACUCCUCUAGGAUAGCCUGCUGUUGCUCAGAGUCGUGGUGAUACUGCAUCUCUGGUUCUUCAUGACCAGCUCCUUCCAGCAGCUCAUAGAUGGAGUGUAUGUUGGGGUGGACAGACUUAAAGCACUAGACCUGGUCCUGGAUGAUAGCUGAGUUGCCAGCCAGCCUGCCUGCCCUCCCAGGGGCUGGGAAGGUUACUCUUAUAUUCCAUCUCUGAGUUCAGAUUAGACAAGAAGAAAUGCUUCAGGAAUGAUAUUCAGAUGCAGGCACUCAUUCUGAUACUCUUGCACUACAUUGCAAGUAAUGAAACAGUUUGAGUGAAAUGAAAUCAAAGUAUGAGUUAUCGCUUAAUAUUCUUUAAAAUAAAUCAUUAAUUCAGAUCUUAGCAAAUAAUUUUUAAUAGUAUUCUAUGAUGAAACUGUCCUGUAAGCCCUGGCUUGGAAGAAUCAGAGACCCAAGGAUACCAGUUUCUGUGCCAAUACUGAUAGGAGCAGAUGCCAAUGCACAAAUGUCUUGCGGAGCUUGUCUCCAUAUGGUCUGCAGUAGGUUUUGUUCUUGCAAUUUUUAGAGUCUGGAAUACUUUAGGAAGUUAAGUGUCAUUAUCACCCAAGUAAAACCAAAGUCUUACAAAGCCUUACAAAACUCAUAAAAGAAUCCUUUUGGAUAAGGGGAUGAAUUUUUAAAUAGAUAUUAUGGUAUAAAGAUUAAAGUUUGGCUUACAUAAAUAUGUAUGUCUUAACUUCUUCCAACAUAAAACUAAUUAGGAAUAUUUAUUAUUGUUCUUAUUUGAUACUCCAGGAGUAUGUGUUUCUAAAUAUAAAACAUAUUUAAAUGAAGAUCUAGAUUUUAAUUAAGAUGUUAUCACUGUAUCUUGAGGAGCAAGAAUAUUGUAUUUGUAAGGAUUAUAAUUGUAGGGGGAGAAACAUUAAAGCCACACAUAAAUGCUAUGAUGUGAAAGAUCAAUAAAACAAAAGGUUCUGUAGAAAUAAAAAGGUAGUCAUAAGACUAUUAACAAACCAAACUGGAAGGACUGAGUAUUUGUAAGUGAAAAGUAGAGGUGUGAUCUUAGCUUAUGAAAAUAUCCUCAACACUGUGAUAGGUGAGUAUCUGGGAGCAUAGAUAAGUAGUUCAUUUAAAAUCAAAUAAAGCUGUUGACAGAUUAUCAAUAAAUAACAAACAGUUGUGAGUCAUGUACUCUGUUCAGAGUUCAUGUUCUGAGCUGCAAUGCUAGUGUUUCAGGGAUGGACAAGAUACACAUGAAAAUUUGCUCUUGUGGCAUAUACUAAUAUGAUGCAUCAAAAAAUACUAAGCAAAAAAGCAAAGUGAUAGAAGCAAGUAUGUGGUUAAUGUAAUAAUAACAGAAACAAGCAGAUACUACAGCCAUGAACAUUGGAGACAGAAUUCUCUUAUAGCAGUGUAGUUGAAGAAGUCACCUCAGGAACUGACUGAAGACCCAGAGGAUGAGUAAAUGGACAAAAAAGAGUGUGGGAGGAACAAGUAAAAACAAGAUAGCUUAAUUGAUUCCUAGAAGGGAUGGCAGUUGAGUUCAUGGAGCAAAGCAAGAAUGGGGACAAAUGUCUCAAGAUGCAAUAGACUUGCCAGAAGAAAGCAGAUCAGAAAUUGAGAACUGAGGAUCUAAGAUUGUGAAUCUUGUUAUAAGUACAACUAAAGAGAAUUCUGUGGAAAAUUAAAGCAAGAAUGCACCAAAUGUGACAUGCUAUAAAGGAUUAUUCUGGUUCUCCUGCUUGCAAUAAAUCAGAAUCUUGCUUUUGUAGUUGCCAUUGCUGUCCAGCUACCAACUCUGCAACACUUCAUCUGUGUGUGUGUAGCACAGCUCUCUCUGUCUCUACUAGCCCAGCUCAUCUUUGGACAGCCCAUUAAAGUAGAGAUUGGUAUUGCCCCUAGCUCAGAAGUGAAAGUAGGAACCUAGUUAGAGGUCAGUCACUUGGGAUGGGUUUAUUCAGUUAAUCACUGACAAGACUGUUCUAUGAACUGAAAUAAUCUGUGCCCUUAAUCACUGUCCAGUCCUAUAAGCAAAACCCAGGAAACAGCAUAUGUUCAUUAUAGUCUGUGAGGGAUGGGCUAGCACCUUAGACUUGAGAGUGGCAGUCAGGUUAUAAAAAAGAUGGAUCACAGGUUAAAUUCAAAGAGCAGGGAUGACAACAGGUUAAGAGUGGUGCCUGAGUUAAUUUUUGUCUGGAGUUGAGACCCUAGGAGAUUUCCUUUUUUCAUGUUAGCAUAUCAGUUGGUGUCAUAGCUGCCUAAACAAGACCUGAACAAUGUACAGCAAGUCCAAAAAGUAGGAUACAAAAGACUUACGUUGAUGAGUAUGUUGUGUAACAGCAAUGUGGGAAGUGUAGUGAUAGAAUCCCCUUGGUUAGGAAUCCCCAGUCAUGGGGCUAUAGAAUGGUAAGCACUAGAAUCAUGGAAGUUUAUAGAGGAUCUGCUGCAGUAACUACUAGAUCAGAAGUUGGAGGUCCUGUCUGUGGAAUUAGAAAACAAAAACAUGGUCAUGUGGCACAGUUAAAAGAAUAAUUGGGGGCUAGAGUGAGUUUACUUCCAGGCACCCAAAUACUGUGCAGAAUAUUACUGCCUGCAGCUUUAAUUCUAGGAAUCUCUGUGUUGGCCUCUGCUGGCACCCAGCUUACAUAAUCACACAUACACAUAGAAUUCUUAAUUACUCUAUAGAAGGGAAAUUCUGUAUUUGGAGGGUUGUUUUGAGAUGAGAAAAUAUGCAGACAAAUGCAUUCAAAGCACAUUCUUAGAGCAGGUGUCACCGUCUGUGAACUUCAGGAAAGUCAGAACCUUCAUAUAGCUUUUCCUCAUCAGUCACUUCCAAUAUGCUUCUAAAAGUAGAACAGACUCAGACAGGGCUGAGCUAGCUUAGAUCAGCCGCCUUCUAAUUAAUACCCUCACCUUUCAGAGUAGGUAGUUCAUGUACCUGCAUUUGCAUGGUCAAAACUGUUUUGAUUCUUUACAGUUUGUGAAUAAAUCAAGUUUUGUCUUUUAAUUUUCAACUUAAUAAAAAUUUGCUGAAGAUUUCUUCCAUGUUAACUAAGUGCCUAAACCAACAAAAGCCACUGUUUUCUAUAGUUUUGGUUUUGUAUUAUUUAUUCUUUUUGAGACAUGGUCUCAUAAUGUAGCAGUGGCUGACUCAAAAUUCACUAUGGAAACCAGUCUGGCAUAGAAUUAACAAAGAUUUGAGUGACUCUACCUCCUGUCUGUGGGCCUCCACACCACACUUCUUCAGUAGUUUUACAUGAAUCCCUCAAUAAUAUUUGUAGUUGUUAUUUGUGGUAUUCAGACACAUACAAUGCAAUAUAGUAAAAACAUCUGAAUAUAAUAAAUAACACAUCUUUCUUUUGCUGUUCUUUAUAAAUCCCAAAUAGUAAAGAUGACUAUCAUAAACAUAUCACUGUGUUUCUACAACUUUCCUUUAAAAGUCAAGUCAAUAGAACAAAACAUAUAGGUACUUUACGACCUGUGUAAGUAUGGCAUAGUUCUGGAGAAAUGGCUCUGUCAGUAAGUACUUGCCUUGCAAGCAUGGGAACUUAAAUUCCAUCCUCAGAACCCCAUGUAAUAAGUGCUGGGGAACAUGACAUGCCCUUGUAAACCUAGUACUAGGGACACAGAGAGAUGAGGAUGUAUGGAACUUUCUGGCACCCAAGCCUUGCAUGCUGUUAGCUGUAGGCCAAUGAGAGACCCUGUCUUAGGUGGACAUUCCAGAGACAUUAAUAACAUUCCUGAGAAUUAAAUCUGAGGUGGUUCUCAGGCAUAUAUAUAUUCACAUACAAAUGAACAUACCCACACAAAACAUGUAUAAACUCUUACUCCAAAGAAUAGCAUAGUUUUCAGGGUAACAUUUUCUGUCAAAUCUAAGAUUGUGUUCUGCUUGCAUUGCGUGAAAUGAAUCGAAAACAUGAUGUAUGAAAACUUCAAGUAGCAUAGCCGGGUGUAGCUCAGCUAUGUUAAAAAUGCUUGCUUUGCAAGAUGAGCCCCUGGGUUCAGUUUGUUUUACUUUAUUUAACACAGAUCUGCUGUUGUUUUCCAUGUUCUACACAAGACUGGUAAUUAUACUCUGUCAUUGCCCUGCAGGAGCUGGCUGCCGGCAACAAAUAUCAUUCACAUUCCAUUUGUAUUGGCACACAGGACUAGGCCACAUAAAACCAGAACCUUGAAGACUGGUUAUGUGGAAAUGGACUUAAUUGUUUAAACGAAGGAAGGAUAAGACAAAGCCAGAGGCAGCUAAGUAGGGUGAGAUAAAAAUGAAUGUGUUUCCACAUAAGACAGCUUUGUGACACCUCUGGGUAGGAGGAAGCUGGGAUUGGUACUGAGGAUUAUAUAAAAGAGCCAGUUACACACUAGGAAGCUGUGGCCAGACUCACACAAUUCAGUCUUUAAUGGGAGACUUGGGAAAGAAGCCAAACACCUUGGCUGUCAUCACAAGAGCAAAGAAUGCAUUGUUGUCCAUUAGAAGAGAGUCACUCUGGAAGAAUCUGAAGAAAGAUUCAAGAGAGAGUGCAAUAAGGGAGGAAACAUGGCAGAGCUGCCUAGAUGAGAUAUGGUCCAGUCUUAAAAGAUGAAAAGGAGCACGUGUGGUUAACGCACAGCUUUAGAGAGCUGGGCAGUGCCUGCUCAUCAUCUUCUAAAUAAGAAACUGAGAACAAUGUUUAGUACUUGAUGGGCAUCCUAAUACCAACGAUUGCCAAGUUUAUUAGCCUGUAAAGUGUGCUGUUGGUGUUGGGAAAGUACUGAACUGGUGGAUAUGUGCUGGGAUGACAAUAGGUAGGAGAGCAAGGAGGUAUAAUUAUAGGAGACAUUUUGAAGAGAGAAGUGGAAAGCUCUGGCAACAGGCUCCGUGUGCAGAGUGAAAAGGAUGAUUCAGAGUUUAGUCACUAACACAUUCUGUUCUCUUUUGGCCAUAUGCAUUUAUGAGACUCUAUAAAUGCAGAUGAUUAACAUUCAUUUGAACACUAAGAGGCAUAUUGGUAAAACAGUUUUCUGUGUUGGCCUUUUGUUCUAUAACUCCCAAACAUUCCAGAGUUGGAAACGCAGUCAUUGGAGUUGAUUGCAUUCUGUGCUUAUUUGUUUAGCACAAACAUUGGGUCAUUUGUUCCUGUUACCUUUGCCUCUACACAGUGUCUAAAUAACAUUAUGUGAUUUUGUUGAAGGCCUUGGCCUCCCUCUCCAGUGUCAGCCAAUAGAUACUUGUGCCAUGGUUAUCUGUUGUGGUUUGUUUGUGCCUCACUGAGGGAGCUUGCAUUUUUAGCAACAUAUCACAUAGCAUCUUUUACAGCUCUUGUUCAGAUGCCCUAUUACAAAGAGCCCUGGUGCUGUAUUUUUGUUUGCUCAGAUAAACCUUAAAUAUGUACCUCUCAUUAGUAUGCAACACAAAACCCUGACAGCCAACAGAUUUGUGUAAAUAUUUGUGCAUGUGUAUCAAAAUAACAUGUUACCUACAACUAUAAGAUAGCAAUAAUUUCAGUUCAUUGAAUAUAAAGCUUGGCUUGGAGAGAUUGUCCUUGUUUCUGACAAAGAUACAUUUAACAUCCACUGAUUCAAAAAUCUUCUGCAUUUACCAUCACAAGCGGCAAUAUUAACAAACCAUAUCCCUACAAAUUUACAAUAUCCCUUGAAGAGGCAGAAAUGAAUAGAAAAGUCCAAAGACAACUGGUACCCAGAGGAGUAUCUUAUUAACUCUAAUGGGAAAAGGUAGAUAGAAAGAUGCAGACAGGUGCAAACAAAGCCAUGUAUACCUGCAAUUUGUUGUACUAGAUAUCCAUUGCUCAGCAUCGACAAAGAAGGUGAGUAGCACUGUAAGCUAGCUGUACUCCUUCAGAAUCCUGACUCUGUGGCACUUUAAUGAACCUUGGCAUUUCCUUUUUUUCUUUAACUGAAUUGUUUCUAAGUCACUGCAUCUUUAUGGAAAAAGAGACGAUUACAGUAAAAACUCAUUUUUACUGUAACAAACACAGCUUCCAAGAACUCUAUCCAUACCUACAAGGGGAGAGAGCACUCAGAUAUUUAACAUCUCUUAGAGCCAGAAUGAUACUAAAAUAGUUAGAGACUGAAACUGAUAUGUAUGUCAAAGAAGACACCCUUUCUGGUCUUUUUCUAGACUCAGGGCAGAUCACCAACUCAAGAUAACAGAACAAACAAUUUGCUUAACUACAUCCAUUUUGUUCAACUUUUUGUUAAGUAUUGUCUUGUAGAUUUCUGCCAUGUUCUAACACAUUAACAAGGGUUUUCUACCACCCUUGUCAACAGAAAUUCAAGUCUGCAUCAUCAGACAAUAAAAUAAAGCUCUGCAAUUUUCUCAACAAUCUCACUGCCAACCAAGGGACUGUUCAGUUCUUUUAUUUUACUCAUUUGUCAAACACUUAUGUGAUAUUAAAAUAAAUGAAAAUGUAAUAAAAAUUAUGUCUAGGGACUGGAGAGAGGCUCAGAAAUUAAGAGCACUGGCUAUCUUCUAGCAGACUCAGGUUCAAUUUUUGCACCCACAAGACAGUGUGCAACACUCUAUUACUCCAGUUUCAGGGAAUCUGAAGCCCUCUGCUGGUCUCCAUGGAUGCCAGCCAUGCAAGUGAUGCAAAGACAUAUAUGCAGUCCAAACACCUGUACACAUAAAAAUUAUUAUUUUUGAAUAGUAGUAUUUCCUCUGGUAGUGGAUCAGUAUUUAUCCCUAGUACACAAAUGGACUUUGGGAGCCCACUCCACAUAGAGGGAUACUCUCUCAGCCUAGGCACAUGGGGGAGGGUCUAGGUCCUACUCCAAAUGAUAUGACAGACAUUGUAGAUCCCCCAUGGAAGGCCUCAUCUUCUACCUGGGGAGGAGAAAGGGUUUAGGAUAGGGGUGGAGGUGGGCAGGGGAGAAGGGGAGAGAGAGGGAACUGGGAUUGACAUGUAAAAGAAGCUUGUUUCUAAUUUAAAAUUGGUCUAAUUACAAUUCAAAAAUAAAAAAUAAUAAAAAUAAAUAGCCGUAUUUUCUUGUCUUUGUUUUCAAAGCCGCACUAACAUAUGGAAGGAGAUCUCUUAUUGUGAUCUUAAUUUGCAUUUUCUGAUUUGUAACUUGAACACCUUUUAACAUACUUAUUGACUACUUCCUAUUUUAAUGUCUGCUUUGGGAAAUUGUGGAAGAACUUUGGAAAUUUGGGCUAGAAAAGCCAUUGAGGGUUGACAGCUAAGUGGGGUAUUAUGUAGGACCGUGGAUGAUGAGAAUGUUGAGGGCCGUGCAGAAGAUGGAAACCUGGCUUGUGAAAUUUUAGAGGGAAAUUUAAAUACUCUGUUGGGACUGUUUGUUAUUUUCAGUCACGAGUCUGUCAUUCUGGUCACCUGCAGCUGAAGAAUCAGCUGUGAUAAACAAGAGAUUGGAAACACUGAAGUGGAACCCUUGUGUUACUGGACACUGUUGGUUAGUGGAUGUUACGAUAAAUCUUUCUGCCAAAAGCCGCUGAGCCCCACCGCCACGUGUAAGCUUUAUGGCAGCCGCCUGCCCAAGUUAGGCCCAAAUGAAUACACAGAGAGACUUGUAUUAGUUACAAUGCUGCUUGGCCAAUGACUAGGAUUCUCAUCUGUUAGCUCAGUAUCAAUCAUCAUACAUCUAUAUAUUUUAUAAGACUUAUCUUAUCGGACGCCUUAUUGGCGCCCCUCCUAGCUGGUGGAUCACAUCUUGCCGCUGGAGCAGGAGCCGAGGGGAAAGAGAGCAACACUUCCUUUUUCCUCUUCUUAAAUAUGAGUCUCCUUGCUAUGUCACUUCCUGUCUGGAACACCACUUCUCUACUACAUUUCCCAGAAUCCUCUUUGACUCCUAGUCCAGCCUAACCUGCUGUCUCAUUGGCCAAGCAAGUACUUUAUUUAUAAACAUACACAGAAGUAUUUCCCCCAUCAUCUCCUCUUUUCUGUCUAAAUAAAAAGAAGGGUAACUUAUUUUUUAUAAUAACUGAAGAAAACUAUAACCAUAACUAUCUGUCUUCAACUCUAUCAAAGACCACAGAAGGAUAAUAUAUAAACUCUUGAAUUGACAGGACAUCUUGCUACCUGGGCAGUCACCCAAAGUUCCUCUGUAAAUGUUGGGGCAUCCAUCUUCAGCCUAUAGGCCACAGUAUGUCUAACACACUCCUCCAUUUUAACAGGAACCCUUCAGUUUUGUAAGUUUAGCAGUCAUUUUCUUGUGGGUCCUGCAUGUCCAAUUUAUACAGCAACAAACAGUCCAGGCAAGAGCAGUUUCUUGCCCAAAUGGCUAGUCUUGCCAUGUUGAAAGCAAACUCCAUAACGAGUUUCUUCGAUGCCCAUCCUCCUUUCUGACAUAAUUGGUGUGCCAGGAGCAGUUGUGUCUCACUGCCAAGAAAAACCCUAAACCAUUUAAAUGCCAUAUUUCUGUAGGUCUUUGAAAGGUUUGAAGAAUACCUAACCAUCUCAAAUACAUCUCUAUAUCUAGAAAACCUAACUAACCUAAUUAUAAGUUCUGACUAUUAUAGGUAAAAGAUCUGUAUAAACACAAUACCUAAACAAGAGUAGACAUAUACAUAUCACAAAACUGACCUUAAAGUUGUAUCAAUAAAUGAAAAUCUUUACCAAUUUAAAGUAUUCAUUCCUAGAUCCUAUUUCCCUUUUCUUUUUUUAUCAUUUAUCACCAACCUCAUUUAAAUGAAAACAAACAUUUAUAAACAAUAUUUGGGAAUAUGGGCGUCGUUCUUUCUAAACUGCUUCCUGCUGAUUGGGGGCGAUGUUUAUAUACCAUUAGGAUCAUGAUAAAACAUAGAAACCUGACCAAGUCCUUGUUUUUGUAGUCUGUAAGGCUGUAUCAUCUCAGCUUCAGGGGGUCUUGCUUGAUCAAACCAUAUUAGUCUGGAAGGAAUCAACAGCUUUUGAUUUUCUGUGGAAAUACAAGUAAAACCUUUAUUUCUAAGUAGCCUGUCCUUAGACUUAAACUUUAAAGUUAAAGCAUUUUUAAAAUGUAUAAGUUGGAUUAAUUUAGCAGCAUUUAUAAUCAAAUGUAUUUUAGCAGCAGUAAUUCUUUCCUUGGCAAUCAAACAAAUUAAAGACAACAGUAUGGCAUUUAGUAUCCAGAUUCUCUGUAUAUUUUUCAUCUCUAGGUGGCUUUUUUAUUAUUCUACUUUUACUUCCUUUUGUUUCUUUUUUUUUUUUUUCUGAGACAGCGUUUCUCUGUGGAAAUCCGCCUGCCUCUGCUUCCUUCAGCAAAUCCUACCCGUGUUGGCCACCACAACCGGUUACUCUAUUUCCUCCUGUUACUUUUUCUCUCACAAGCUUACAUAUAUUUUUAAAUGUAUUGUAAACCUUUAGAUGUUUUUCUUUAUCUUAAUCUGUCUUUAACAUCUCAGAAGUCCGAGUAUAACGCCCAAGAGCACCGGGACAGUGCGAGCAUAUGGAAGCUGCUCCAAUGCCUCUCAGCAGCCCGACAGGGCAGGCUGUGGCGGCAGGUUUCCCUCUUUCUCUGGAAACCUUGGGGCAUGGGGUCAUCCCACUCACUGACACCAUUCUGUUACGAUAAAUCUUUCUGCCAAAAGCCGCUGAGCCCCACCGCCACGUGUAAGCUUUAUGGCAGCCGCCUGCCCAAGUUAGGCCCAAAUGAAUACACAGAGAGACUUGUAUUAGUUACAAUGCUGCUUGGCCAAUGACUAGGAUUCUCAUCUGUUAGCUCAGUAUCAAUCAUCAUACAUCUAUAUAUUUUAUAAGACUUAUCUUAUCGGACGCCUUAUUGGCGUCCCUCCUAGCUGGUGGAUCACAUCUUGCCGCUGGAGCAGGAGCCGAGGGGAAAGAGAGCAACACUUCCUUUUUCCUCUUCUUAAAUAUGAGUCUCCUUGCUAUGUCACUUCCUGUCUGGAACACCACUUCUCUACUACAUUUCCCAGAAUCCUCUUUGACUCCUAGUCCAGCCUAACCUGCUGUCUCAUUGGCCAAGCAAGUACUUUAUUUAUAAACAUACACAGAAGUAUUUCCCCCAUUAAGUGGAAGCUAAAGAAAUUAUCAGUGAUUAAGAAGAGACCACCAUCAUGGAGAUGAAAUUUUCUGGGAAAUAUUUCCUGAGAGUCAACACAGAAGCUGUGUUCCAGAGGUGACGAAGGAACUCUUUAAAUAACCAUGAAUAAGAAAUGAGUAUUGUUUUAGAUGCCAUAUUUAAAAUAUUUUCAGUUCUUCCGAGGAAAAUGAUUCAGAGAAGAAAUAACCUUGCAACAUGGAUGAGUCACCCAACAGGUGUGACUACAAAAUCUACCUCUUAGACAUUAACAGCAAAGAUAAUUGGAAAGCACCCUUUCCGGUUUUAUUUUCUAGAUUUUAGAGUCCUAAGGAAAUAGUG
rnacentral:lncRNA from 1 species